GACGAACGCUGGCGGCGUGCCUAAUACAUGCAAGUCGAACGCUGAAGGAGGAGCUUGCUCUUCUGGAUGAGUUGCGAACGGGUGAGUAACGCGUAGGUAACCUGCCUGGUAGCGGGGGAUAACUGUUGGAAACGAUAGCUAAUACCGCAUAAAAUUGAUUAUUGCAUGAUAGUCAAUGGAAAGGUGCAAUUGAAUCACUACCAGAUGGACCUGCGUUGUAUUAGCUAGGUGGUGAGGUAACGGCUCACCAAGGCAACGAUACAUAGCCGACCUGAGAGGGUGGUCGGCCCACCUGGGAAUGGGACACGGCCCAGACUCCUACGGGAGGCAGCAGUAGGGAAUCUUCGGCAAUGGACGGAAGUCUGACCGCGCAACGCCGCGUGAGUGAAGAAGGUUUUCGGAUCGUAAAGCUCUGUUGUGAGGGAAGAACGAGUGUGAGAGUGGAAAGUUCACACUGUGACGGUAGCUUACCAGAAAGGGACGGCUAACUACGUG
rnacentral:rRNA from 1 species